UACGUAGGGCGCAAGCGUUGUCCGGAAUUAUUGGGCGCAAAGAGCUCGUAGGCGGCCUGUUGCGUCCGCUGUGAAAUCCCGGGGCUCAACCCCGGGCCUGCAGUGGAUACGGGCUGGCUAGAGGCAGGCAGGGGAGAACGGAAUUCCUGGUGUAGCGGUGAAAUGCGCAGAUAUCAGGAGGAACACCGGUGGCGAAGGCGGUUCUCUGGGCCUGUACUGACGCUGAGGAGCGAAAGCGUGGGGAGCGAACAGG
rnacentral:rRNA from 1 species